GCGGACGUGGUGCAUGGUGCAUCGCUGCACUUAAUAGGGAGAGGGUAAUGUUUAUAUGCAGCUGUUGGGGUUCGACUCCCCGCGUCCGCA